rnacentral:rRNA from 1 species
UACAGAGGUCUCAAGCGUUGUUCGGAUUCAUUGGGCGUAAAGGGUGCGUAGGUGGCGCCGUAAGUCAGGCGUGAAAUCUCGGGGCUCAACCCCGAAACUGCACUUGAUACUGUGGUGCUCGAGUACUGGAGAGGAGAUUGGAAUUUACGGUGUAGCAGUGAAAUGCGUAGAUAUCGUAAGGAAGACCAGUGGCGAAGGCGAAUCUCUGGACAGUUACUGACACUGAGGCACGAAGGCCAGGGGAGCAAACGGG